AUUGAACGCUGGCGGCAGGCCUAACACAUGCAAGUCGAACGAGUGGCGGACGGGUGAGUAAUGUCUGGGAAACUGCCUGAUGGAGGGGGAUAACUACUGGAAACGGUAGCUAAUACCGCAUACCAUCAUAUGUGCCCAGAUGGGAUUAGCUUGUUGGUGGGGGAACGGCUCACCAGGGCGACGAUCCCUAGCGGGUCUGAGAGGAUGACCAGCCACACUGGAACUGAGACACGUUCAGGACGCCUACGGGAGGCAGCAGGGGGGAAUAUGGCAGAAUGGGCGCAAGCCUGAUGCAGCCAUGCCGCGUGGAUGAAGAAGGCCUUAGGGUUGUAAAGUACUUUCAGCGGGGAGGCGUUACCCGCAGAAGAAGCACCGGCUAACUCCGUGCCAGCAGCCGCGGUAAUAC
rnacentral:rRNA from 1 species